CCUACGGGAGGCAGCAGUGAGGAAUAUUGGUCAAUGGGCGCGAGCCUGAACCAGCCAUGUAGCGUGAAGGAUGACUGCCCUCCGGGUUGUAAGCAUCUUUUAUAAAGGAAUAAAGUGUGGCACGUGUGCCCUUUUGUAUGUACUUUAUGAGUAAGGAUCGGCUAACUCCGUGCCAGCAGCCGCGGUAAUACGGAGGAUCCGAGCGUUAUCCGGAUUUAUUGGGUUUAACGGGAGCGCAGAUGGGUUGUUAAGUCAGUUGUGAAAGUUGGGGGCUCAACCGUAAAAGUGCAAUUGAUACUGGCAGCCUUGAGUACAGUUGAGGGAGGCAGAAUUCGUGGUGUAGCGGUGAAAUGCGUAGAGAUCACGAAGAACUCCGAUGGCGAAGGCAGCCUACUAAACUGCCACUGACAUUGAUGCUCGAAAGUGUGGGUAUCAAACAGGAUUAGAUACCCCAGUAGUC
rnacentral:rRNA from 1 species